rnacentral:rRNA from 1 species
GGAUCCAGACUUUGAUUAUGGCUCAGGACGAACGCUGGCGGCAUGCUUCAUACAUGCAAGUCGAACGAUAAGGUCUCUUCGGAGAUACAUAAGUGGCGGACGGGUGAGUAAUAUGUAGGAAAUCUGCCCUAGAGAGGGGGACAACAGAAGGAAACUUCUGCUAAUACCCCAUAUGAGCGUACCUGAAAUGGUAUUCUUGAAAACUCCGGUGCUCUAGGAUGAGCCUGCAUCUGAUUAGCUAGUUGGUGGUGUAAUGGACUACCAAGGCGACGAUCAGUAGCUGGUUUGAGAGGAUGAUCAGCCACAAUGGGACUGAGACACGGCCCAUACUCCUACGGGAGGCAGCAGUAGGGAAUUUUGCGCAAUGGGCGAAAGCCUGACGCAGCAAUGCCGCGUGAAUGUUAAACCCUUCGGGGUGUAAAGUUCUGUCAGUGGGGACGAACAAAUGACGGUACCCACAGAGGAAGCACCGGCUAACUCCGUGCCAGCAGCCGCGGUAAUACGGAGGGUGCAAGCGUUGUCCGGAAUCAUUGGGCGUAAAGAGUUCGUAGGCGGUUUGUUAAGUUAGAUGUUAAAUACUGAGGCUCAACCUCAGCACGGCAUUUGAUACUGGCAGACUUGAAUGCGGUAGAGGUAAAGGGAAUUCCUGGUGUAGCGGUGAAAUGCGUAGAUAUCAGGAGGAACAUCGGUGGCGUAAGCGCUUUACUGGGCCGUAAUUGACGCUGAGGAACGAAAGCCAGGGUAGCGAAUGGGAUUAGAUACCCCAGUAGUCCUGGCCGUAAACGAUGGAUACUAGGUGUUGCGGGUAUCGACCCCUGCAGUGCCGUAGCUAACGCGAUAAGUAUCCCGCCUGGGGAGUACGCACGCAAGUGUGCAACUCAAAGGAAUUGACGG